CUCCUGGAAACGGGUGGUAAUGCCGGAUGCUCCAGUUGAUCGCAUGGUCUUCUGGGAAAGCUUUCGCGGUAUGGGAUGGGGUCGCGUCCUAUCAGCUUGACGGCGGGGUAACGGCCCACCGUGGCUUCGACGGGUAGCCGGCCUGAGAGGGCGACCGGCCACAUUGGGACUGAGAUACGGCCCAGACUCCUACGGGAGGCAGCAGUGGGGAAUAUUGCACAAUGGGCGCAAGCCUGAUGCAGCGACGCCGCGUGAGGGAUGGAGGCCUUCGGGUUGUAAACCUCUUUUAUCGGGGAGCAAGCGAGAGUGAGUUUACCCGUUGAAUAAGCACCGGCUAACUACGUGCCAGCAGCCGCGGUAAUACGUAGGGUGCAAGCGUUAUCCGGAAUUAUUGGGCGUAAAGGGCUCGUAGGCGGUUCGUCGCGUCCGGUGUGAAAGUCCAUCGCUUAACGGUGGAUCCGCGCCGGGUACGGGCGGGCUUGAGUGCGGUAGGGGAGACUGGAAUUCCCGGUGUAACGGUGGAAUGUGUAGAUAUC
rnacentral:rRNA from 2 species